CGGUGAUAACAAGCCUGAGAGGGUUUGUACCAGGAAAGCUGCCUCAUUCUACAGAAAGACGGGAAAAGGGUUAAACCAAAAAAGCUACCUCGUUUUACAAAAAGACUGCAAAGGGUUAAACCAAAAAAGCUACCUCGUUUUACAAAAAGACUGCAAAGGGUUAAACCAAAAAAGCUACCUCGUUUUACAAAAAGACUGCAAAGGUAAACUUUUUUUAAGUUUACCCUAAGCUUUAUUGUGUUUUUCUUAGCCACUUUUUUAUAAAGUUUUUAUGC